rnacentral:rRNA from 1 species
GAAAAGAAACCAACAGGGAUUGCCCUAGUAACGGCGAGUGAAGCGGCAACAGCUCAAAUUUGAAAUCUGGCCUCGGCCCGAGUUGUAAUUUGCAGAGGAUGCUUCUGGCGCGGUGCCUUCCGAGUUCCCUGGAACGGGACGCCACAGAGGGUGAGAGCCCCGUAUGGUCGGACACCAAGCCUGUGUGAAGCUCCUUCGACGAGUCGAGUAGUUUGGGAAUGCUGCUCUAAAUGGGAGGUAAAUCUCUUCUAAAGCUAAAUACCGGCCAGAGACCGAUAGCGCACAAGUAGAGUGAUCGAAAGAUGAAAAGCACCUUGAAAAGGGGGUUAAAUAGUACGUGAAAUUGUUGAAAGGGAAGCACUUGUGACCAGACUUGGGCCGGGCGGCUCAUCAGGGGUUCUCCCCUGUGCACUCCGCCCGGCACAGGCCAGCAUCGGUUCUCGUGGGGGGACAAGACCGUCAGGAACGUAGCACCCUCCGGGGUGUGUUAUAGCCUGGCGGACGAUACCCCCGUGGGGACCGAGGUUCGCGCUCCGCAAGGAUGCUGGCGUAAUGGUCACCAGUGACCCGUCUUGAAACACGGACCAAGGAGUCGUCCAUUAGAGCGAGCGUUUGGGUGUAAAACCCGCACGCGUAAUGAAAGUGAACGCAGGUGAGAGCUUCGGCGCAUCAUCGACCGAUCCUGAUGUUCUCGGAAGGAUUUGAGUAAGAGUUUUAACGGACGGACCCGAAAGACAGUGAACUAUGCUUGUAUAGGGUGAAGCCAGAGGAAACUCUGGUGGAGGCUCGCAGCGGUUCUGACGUGCAAAUCGAUCGUCAAAUAUGAGCAUGGGGGCGAAAGACUAAUCGAACUGUCUAGUAGCUGGUUACCGCCGAAGUUUCCCUCAGGAUAGCAGUGUUGAUCUUCAGUUUUAUGAGGUAAAGCGAAUGAUUAGGGACUCGGGGGCGCUAUAUAGCCUUCAUCCAUUCUCAAACUUUAAAUAUGUAAGAAGCCCUUGUUACUUAGUUGAACGUGGGCAUUCGAAUGUACCAACACUAGUGGGCCAUUUUUGGUAAGCAGAACUGGCGAUGCGGGAUGAACCGAACGCGGGGUUAAGGCGCCAGAGUGUACGCUCAUCAGACACCACAAAAGGCGUUAGUACAUCUUGACAGCAGGACGGUGGCCAUGGAAGUCGGAAUCCGCUAAGGACUGUGUAACAACUCACCUGCCGAAUGUACUAGCCCUGAAAAUGGAUGGCGCUCAAGCGUACCGCCCAUACCCCGCCCCCAGGGUAGAAA